AAGUCGAACGCCUUGUGGUCUUAAUGAAUGGAGUGCUUGCACGAUAUGAUUUAAAACAAUGCAAGGAGUGGCGAACGGGUGAGUAACACGUGGGAAACCUACCUCUUAGCAGGGGAUAACAUUUGGAAACAGAUGCUAAUACCGUAUAACACUAAAAACCGCAUGGUUUUUAUUUGAAAGAUGGUUCUGCUAUCACUAAGAGAUGGUCCCGCGGUGCAUUAGUUAGAUGGUGAGGUAAUGGCUCACCAUGACGAUGAUGCAUAGCCGAGUUGAGAGACUGAUCGGCCACAAUGGGACUGAGACACGGCCCAUACUCCUACGGGAGGCAGCAGUAGGGAAUCUUCCACAAUGGGCGCAAGCCUGAUGGAGCAACGCCGCGUGUGUGAUGAAGGGUUUCGGCUCGUAAAGCACUGUUGUAAGAGAAGAAUGUACUUGAGAGUAACUGUUCAAGUAGUGACGGUAUCUUACCAGAAAGGGACGGCUAAAUACGUGCCAGCAGCCGCGGUAAUACGUAUGUCCCAAGCGUUAUCCGGAUUUAUUGGGCGUAAAGCGAGCGCAGACGGUUAUUUAAGUCUGAAGUGAAAGCCCUCAGCUCAACUGAGGAAUUGCUUUGGAAACUGGAUGACUUGAGUGCAGUAGAGGAAAGUGGAACUCCAUGUGUAGCGGUGAAAUGCGUAGAUAUAUGGAAGAACACCAGUGGCGAAGGCGGCUUUCUGGACUGUAACUGACGUUGAGGCUCGAAAGUGUGGGUAGCAAACAGGAUUAGAUACCCUGGUAGUCCACACCGUAAACGAUGAGUGCUAGCUGUUCGAGGGUUUCCGCCCUUGAGUGGCGUAGCUAACGCAUUAAGCACUCCGCCUGGGGAGUACGACCGCAAGGUUGAAACUCAAAGGAAUUGACGGGGACCC
rnacentral:rRNA from 1 species